GGAAUCUUGCACAAUGGAGGAAACUCUGAUGCAGCGAUGCCGCGCGAGUGAAGAAGGCCUUUGGGUUGUAAAGCUCUUUUGUAGGGGAAGAUAAUGACUGUACCCUAAGAAUAAGGUCCGGCUAACUUCGUGCCAGCAGCCGCGGUAAUACGAAGGGACCUAGCGUAGUUCGGAAUUACUGGGCGUAAAGCGCGCGUAGGCCGUUGAGUUAGUUAAUUGUGAAAUCCCAAAGCUUAACUUUGGAACUGCAAUUAAAACUGCUCGACUAGAGUUUGAUAGAGGAAAGCGGAAUACAUAGUGUAGAGGUGAAAUUCGUAGAUAUUAUGUAGAACACCAGUUGCGAAGGCGGCUUUCUGGAUCAACACUGACGCUGAGGCGCGAAAGUAUGGGUAGCAAAGAGGAUUAGAUACCCUCGUAGUCCAUACCAUAAACGAUGAUUGCUAGAUGUUGGAAAUUUAUUUUCAGUAUCGCAGCUAACGCAUUAAGCAAUCCGCCUGGGGAGUACGACCGCAAGGUUAAAACUCAAAUGAAUUGACGG
rnacentral:rRNA from 1 species